AAUCUUCGGCAAUGGGCGAAAGCCUGACCGAGCGACGCCGCGUGGAGGAUGAAGGNCUNNGGGUCNUNAACUCCUAAAAGAGGNNNNNUAGUGACGGUACCUCUUGAAAAGCACCGGCUAACUCCGUGCCAGCAGCCGCGGUAAUACGGAGGGUGCAAGCGUUAUCCGGAAUCACUGGGCGUAAAGGGCGCGUAGGCGGUCUGUUAAGUCCGAUGUUAAAGGCUGGGGCUCAACCCCAGUAAAGCGUUGGAUACUGGCAGGCUAGACGGUUGGAGAGGCGAGUGGAAUUACCAGUGUAGCGGUGAAAUGCGUAGAUACUGGUAGGAACACCCAUGGCGAAGGCAGCUCGCUGGACAACCCGUGACGCUGAGGCGCGAAAGUGUGGGGAGCAAACCGG
rnacentral:rRNA from 1 species